rnacentral:tRNA from 1 species
GGACAAAGUCAUAGCUCAGUGGUAGAGCAUCUGCCUGACAUGCAGAAGGCGCUAGGUUCAGUCCCCAGCAUUUCCA